UACGUAGGGAGCAAGCGUUGUUCGGAUUCACUGGGCGUAAAGGGUGCGUAGGUGGCUUGAAAAGUUUGAUGUGAAAGCUCAGGGCUUAACCCUGAAAUGGCAUUGAAUACUGUCGAGCUGGAGGUUUGGAGGGGGGACUGGAAUUCUUGGUGUAGCAGUGAAAUGCGUAGAUAUCAAGAGGAACACCAGUGGCGAAGGCGAGUCCCUGGACAACACCUGACACUGAGGCACGAAAGCUAGGGGAGCAAACAGG
rnacentral:rRNA from 1 species